UAUAUUUCAAUGCUUUUCCAUGGAUUGAAUCAAAUGAUUCUUCAGCCUUAUAAUGUUUUCUGUAGUACUCACCAAUAUUGAAGAACAUCUGUAAGCGAAGACUUAUCUUAUUAAAUCAUAAUUAUGAAGUGAAUACUGUUAACAAUGAAACUUUUCAAAAAUAUGUGUCAUCAGAGUUGCUGACACCUGUAAGUCAGCUUCUGAGAGUCUCGGAGCUUGCAUAGACUGAAUGAAUUUUAGAGAAAGAGACUCCUCCGCCCCCUGGAAAUCAAGAUAUAAAAAAAGAAAAUUUGAUGGGAACCACCAUUAUCAAGAAGGAGACCACAUUUCCAAAAUGGUUGUUACGGCGAGUCGACUACAUUUCCCUGCGUCACAUUUUGGAGCUUCGUGACCCCAGGAAUC